AUUGAACGCUGGCGGCAUGCCUUACACAUGCAAGUCGAACGGUAACGCGGGGCAACCUGGCGACGAGUGGCGAACGGGUGAGUAAUACAUCGGAACGUGCCCAGUAGUGGGGGAUAGCCCGGCGAAAGCCGGAUUAAUACCGCAUACGACCUACGGGUGAAAGCGGGGGAUCGCAAGACCUCGCGCUAUUGGAGCGGCCGAUGUCAGAUUAGCUAGUUGGUGGGGUAAAAGCCUACCAAGGCGACGAUCUGUAGCUGGUCUGAGAGGACGACCAGCCACACUGGGACUGAGACACGGCCCAGACUCCUACGGGAGGCAGCAGUGGGGAAUUUUGGACAAUGGGGGCAACCCUGAUCCAGCCAUGCCGCGUGCGGGAAGAAGGCCUUCGGGUUGUAAACCGCUUUUGUCGGGGAAGAAACGGUCUGCGCUAAUACCGCGGACUAAUGACGGUACCCGAAGAAUAAGCACCGGCUAACUACGUGCCAGCAGCCGCGGUAAUAC
rnacentral:rRNA from 1 species